GGAACAUGAGAUUCAAUGAGAAGUGUGCGAGCAUUCUCAAUAAUGUGCCUAUUCUUUCUCUCUGCAACCCCAUUUUGCUGAGGGGUAUAAGGACAAGAGGUCUGAUGAAUAAUUCCAUGAGAANNNNNNNNNNNNNNNNNNNGCCUAUUCUUUCUCUCUGCAACCCCAUUUUGCUGAGGGGUAUAAGGACAAGAGGUCUGAUGAAUAAUUCCUUGAGAAGUCAUAAACUGCUGAAAUUGAGAUUUUGAGAGGAUAAAUAUUCUAAGGCAUUAUCACUGUGAAUAGAAACACCAAAUUGAUUUUUAAUUCCAGCACAAAAAUUUUGGAAUAUAGAAAACAACUCAGAACGAUCUUUCAUUAAGAAAAUCCAAGUACAUCUUGAAUGAUCAUCAAUGAAACUAACAAAAUAAUAAAAUCCCAAAGUUGAAC
rnacentral:lncRNA from 1 species